AUUGAACGCUGGCGGCAGGCCUAACACAUGCAAGUCGAGCGAGCGGCGGACGGGUGAGUAAUGUAUGGGGACUGCCCGAUAGAGGGGGAAAACUACUGGAAAAGGUAGCUAAUACCGCAUACUAUCGGAUAACCCAUAUGGGAGUAGCUAGUUGGUGAGGUAAUGGCUCACCUAGGCGACGAUCCCUAGCUGGCCUGAGAGGAUGAUCAGCCACACUGGGACUGAGACACGGCCCAGACUCCUACGGAGGCAGCAGUGGGGAAUAUUGCGCAAUGGGCGCAAGCCUGAUGCAGCCAUGCCGCGUGUAUGAAGAAGGCCCUAGGGUUGUAAAGUACUUUCAGUCGGGAGGCGUUACCGACAGAAGAAGCACCGGCUAACUCCGUGCCAGCAGCCGCGGUAAUAC
rnacentral:rRNA from 1 species